AUCCAGCUGACGCGUCUUAAAUAGGACGAAACGCACAUCCUGGAU
rnacentral:hammerhead_ribozyme from 1 species